CUUGGUGAUGGCAAGAGCACUUUGUUUUGGGAGGAUCGAUGGCUUAUGGGAUCCCGCAUCCAAGAGCUUGCGCCACGUCUCUAUGACCGCAUCCCGGCGCGUGUGAAGAAGUAGAGAACCGUCUACGAAGCCAUAGCCUCUGAUGCUUGGGCGCGUGACAUUGGGCCGGCCAUUGACCACACCACCUUGGAGCAAUUCUUAUCCCUUUGGCCCGCGGUGGUGGCCACCCGCCUGAACGAGCACGAUAGCGACACUAUUACCUGGGCUUGGAGCAAGAAGGGGCACUUUUCGGCCAGCUCGGCUUACCAGGCCAAGUUUUGGGGUCUCCAGGUUUCACCCACGGCCUCGCUCUCCCGGGACUCGCGAGCGCCGCUCAGAUGCAGGUUCUUUUCCUGGCUAGCCAUUAAGGAGAGGUGCUGGACCUCAGACCGGCUGGGAAGGCGAGGAUUGCCACACCAGGACGCAUGCCCGCUGUGCGAUCAGCACGAUGAAACGAUAAACCACCUGCUUCUGCACUUCGUCUUCGUCCGACAAGUGUGGACUCAAGUCUUGCCCGCGCUGGGCUUGGGGCAUGCUGAGCCUCGCCAGGAGGAGACGCUAUCGGACUGGUACGUACACAGCGGGCUAGAUAGGCUGACCAAGAAGCGAGCAAGGCCGAGGCGCGCGACUUGCUUACUAGUCCUCUGGGAGGUGUGGAAGCACCAGAACGACGUUGUGUUCAAUGGCAGGACUCCGUGUCUCAGAGACUUGUGGCGGAAAAUUGCUAGCGAAUACGAGCUAUGGAAAGACGCGGGACUGCCCCGCAACGAUGAUGAUAUGCACGAGGGCAUUGAGGCAGCUCUAAGGUGGGCGCAGGGCGAGUAG
rnacentral:rRNA from 1 species